CCACCUCAUGGUCCACAGUGGCUGCUGGACCUCCGGCCACCAUGCCCAGUGGGCAGGAAGAAGGAAAAUGCAGGACAGGGUGACUGGGAAUGGGCUCUAAGCUGUCUCCCUGGAGGUGUCCCCCAAUCUUCUGUUUAGAUCUCACUGGGCAGAGCUUGGUCAUGGGGUGCAUCUAAAAGGGAGACUGGGAGAUGUAAGCUUUCAGCUGGGCAUACUAGCAUCCCAAACAAGACUGGCAUUCUGUUACAAAGAAAGAAAGAGAGACUGGGUUUUGGACGGAAACUAGCAAAACUCUCCAACAGUAGGCACCAACCCUCAGUGAAACCUGGGUGAGCCAAGGAACAAGUGAAUCUUGGGGUCAUCAGGGGCCGAGCCUCUUGGCAAAGCUUCAAUAAGCCAAAGCUGAGUGUUAAUCAUGCCUCUGGGGCUGUCACCCCUCUAUAAGGGUUCAUCUCCAUGGAAUGAUGAACUCAUAUCCAUUUUACCCUAUCACUGUCCACUUUCCUUUCCUGGGCACAAGACACAAAAGGUCACUUUGGAGACUGAAGGUGCUCCAUUCAAAACCUGGGACCAGCACUUACCAGCUUUAGGACCCACACAAGGUAUUUCUCUAAGCCUCAGCUUUCUCCUUCUCAAAAAUAGGACAUUAUUCAAUGUCCCAUCUCCCAAAACUGCUGAGCCUUGGCUUCCUUCCUGCCUUCCCGGCACCUGCGCUGGAGCCAGCAUCCCUCAUUCUCUGAGAUCUGGAGCUCAGCUGGCUGCCAGCCGGUCUCCACCAAGAGGCGUGCAGUGAAAAUCGGACAUUGUAUGUGCACACACCUGGCCCAGAGGACGGCUUGUGUGGAGGUGGGAACUACGGUGCCAAUGUGUGCUUCUUAAGACGUAUUUCCACUUUAACUGGGAGGGGAAAAUGCCUAUGAAACCAAAAGAAGUAACUGUCAAAUGGUGAAAUGCAUCAGUGUAACAGGGUCAGCCAGAGGCUGGAAACGGGCCAUUUGGUGGCUCUUCCCAAAGGGUAAUGAGUAAAGCCACUCAUUACGGUGACGGGUGAAGCUACCUGGCCUUUCCCAACUAACCUCCUCUCUCCCAGACUGCUGCUUUGCUUUAUCUUGUUUUGUCUCAUUUUAUUCCUUUGUGGAAACCAGCCUCUCUGGGGCAGAUGUGAUAGCUUCUAUUUCUCAGGAAAAAUCUCAGAAAAGUAAUGAUCGCAUAUAUUGACUGAAGUUGUAUAAUGUUUCAGGCACUGUGCUAGUGCUUUACAUCUACCAUCUCACAUCUUCUUCACCAAAACUUCUUGAGGUGGGUCCCAUUACUAAAUCCAUUUCACAGAAGAGGAAACUGAAGCACAGAGAGGUUAGGUCACUUAUCCAUGGUCACACAGCUGUCGGGCUGAGGAGCCAAGCCUGGAAAGCAAGACUCUAGCUCCAGGCUAUAGCAGGUGAGAUGGCCAGGUGCCUUAUCACAAACUCAGCCCUCGACCUCCCAUGUGUCAAAUAACAAAACUGCCCUGCCUCUGUCAAACGGACAUAGGCAGAACAAACGGAAUCUUGGAAGGCAGAGUGCUUUCUAAACCCAAAGAAGAUACACGAGUUUAAGCCCCAGCUCUGCCCAAGUGAUCUUUGUCCUUUUGCAGGGGUGGCAGGUGGGGAGCUCACUUUCCCAGUCUGAGAAAUGGGUGGCACUGAACUGUUUCUUCUAGCUCUAGCAUGAACUAAAUUUUAAUCUCCUUUUUGCAUCACUGAGCCAAACAAGGAAAUUGUCUCUGUGAACAAUCCUCAUCAGACGUUUCCAAACUGAAAUUCGGCUCACCUAGACUGGAAAAAACAAGUGUCCCACAAUCCCCAGAAGACAACAAAGCUGCAAUUAACUCACGCAGCAGAAUGCCUGAGUUCACCUCAGUAUCCUGAGGAUGUCGGGAGGGUCACAGCCGAUGGCGGAGUGGGAACUGUGGAGGGGAGGGCAAAUGUCCCUUGGAAACUAGCCCCCUCCCGUACCUUACUCCCCCGCAAGACUCAGAAGACAAAAACUACAUUUUCCAGACACCCUUGAAGCUAAGGAUUGGGAGGCAUCAAUCAUUAUGAGAUGCAUCCAUAUCGGAUUCAGCGCAUUCCAAUGCAUCCCAUCCCAUACAUUCCUAUGGGAGUCGGUGGGCAGAAGGGAGGUCCCUGUGGGUGGGACCUUGGCUCAUGAACAUCCCUGGAGUGUGGGAUGUUGAGUGCAUCAUUUUCCAUUUGCCUCUGAGAACCACUUAGGCCAGUGCUCCUCAGAGUGGGGUCUGUGGACCAGCCACUUCAGCACCACUUGCGAACUUUGAAGCAAAGCAAGCCCCUCCGGUCCUGCUCCAAACUCACUGAAUCUGAAACUCUAGGUUGGGACCCAGAAAUCUGUGGUCUAACACGCUCUCUAGGUGAUAUUCAUGCAUGCCAAAGUUUGGGAAUAAUGGACUCAGAGUGCCUUACCUCAGGGUCCUAGCCUUGGCGGUACCUGACAUCUUCCAUUUGGGCCCCAGUUGUUACUACACACACACACACACACACACACACACACACACACGGGGUCUAGGGUCUAUUAUAUGAUUUGCGUUAAUAUUUACAAUCACUUUACUCACCUUUUCAACAGUGUAGAUACAGUGCCAUGCAAUACUCAGGGAUACAAUUUGAUGAAUCUUUCCAUUUCUACCUACCUGUGAAACUGCCACCCAAAUCAAGAUACAGAACCUUUCUGUUCCCGUGUAACACUUUACACCCCCUCCCAAUCAAGUCUCCCCAAAGGAAACUACUAGCCUGAACACAUCUCCAGUGAGUUAGUUUGCCUGUUCUUAUACUCCAUAUAAAUGGGAUUAUGUCAUCAAUACUUUUUUGUAUCUGGCAACUUGCCCUUGAUAUUGCAUUUGUGACAUUGUCUAUAUCGUGUAUGGCACCUACUUGUCUUUUUCACUGCUAUAUAGUAUUUCAUUCACCACUAACUAUCCAUUUCUCCACCAAUGGACCUUCAGACUAUGUCCAAUUUGAAACUAUUACGAAUCUAGCUUAUGGGAAUAUUUCUGUACUUGGCCUCUGCAGGACAUAAGCAAUCAUUUCUCUUGGAUGGAUGGACAUCCAGGGUGGAGUUCUCAUGUUCAGCUUGUAUAGAUACUGCAAGUUUUCCAAAGAAAGUGAACCAACUCUCAUCUGACAGCAGGGUCUGCCAGCUUAUAUUGUGUUUAAUAUACACAGCUUAGCUAGACUCCAACUGCCCCUUUCCACUUUUGUAAGUACUAAAGUUGGGCUCAGGGAUGUCAAGUCACCUUCCCAAGACUACAGGUCAACUCCUCAUGUGCUUUGUUGACAUGGACAACUUGUUUUCCCUAUUUGUACCUCAGCCUCCUCAUCAAUAAAAUGGGUGUGGCAAAGGCUGGCCAAACUUUUUGGCCAUAGAACUUAUUCUUCAAAUGAAAUCUUGCGCAGAAGCCCAACAUGCAACAGGAAAAUAAAAAUAAGAGUGCUCUGAUAUAAAUAUAAGAGUGCUCUGAAAAUGCCCAGGGCUCCUCAGGGCCAGGUUAACUCCAAGUUUCUAAUCCAUUCUAUGCAUCUAAGAAUAUUCCCAAGGCUCAAGAGUGUUUGCCUUUGUGGCAGGGCCAGCCUGAACCUCCAGGAGGGUCUCCCAGGCUGAGGGGCAGGAAAGCAGGAGAGGCAGAGGGAGCCAAGGCAAAUCUACCCUGAGACAGGCCCUUUUUGGAAGAGGUUUCCAUUGGCCGGGUCCCCUUCUGUCCCCCGCUGAGCUUUGCACUCUGCAAAUGAAGGUCCAGAAUGGAAAAUGCUGACAGUACCUCAACUAAAGAUGGCUGGAUGAAAUGAGAGCAGAGUUUACCCCAGGUAAUGCAGCGACUGCUCAUUUGCAUAAUGUCGAGAUGCAGCCUGUGAACUUCUGAAGCAGGAAAAAAUAAAAGUGAUUCGGGAAGAAAAAAAUAAAGCACUCCUUUAUUCCUGGAGCUACUUUGGGGCCCUACUGACGGAAAAUGAAAGGUGGAGGGAAGAACAAAGGAGAAGAAGUCAGGAGGCGGAGAGCCUGGGAGACAACUGAGUACCUUACCUAUGUAAGCUGCACAUAAAGCCACGCCAGGGACAAGUGACCCCCAUGAAGUCCUCCCACCUCCCGCCAAUUUUAUCAUCUCAGCUAGCAGCCUUCCAACCUCCAAAGACCACCCUGUUUCCUCCUUUCCAACGACCAUUCAAAAAACUCAGGGAGCAUUAGCAGAAGGCCAGCUAGGUAUCAGGCGCUGUUCUACGCAGUGCAGACCCAACAGUGAACCCAGCGGACACCAUGCAGAGUUUCCACUGUGUUGGUCCACUGUGCCUCUCCAAAGGUAACCCAGGUGACCUUCCUUUUUGCAGCCCCUGUGUUCUGAUGCAGCAGAGGCUGCCACCAUCUCCAAAAUGGUCUCUUUCCUGAGUCUCCCCUACCAGCUUCUGCUCUGCUGGCGCUAGACUGACAUCCACAUGACAACUUCCUCGUUACAGCUUCACUGAGUCCCUACCGAUAUGACAAUGGAGUUAAAACUCUUAGCGUCCAAGGUCUCUUAUGUUUAUCCCUCUACCCUGCACUUCUACUGCAAAUAGCUGCAGUGUCUAAAACAUGCCCUUUUGCACCCUUUUCUCUGUUCAAAAUGUCCAUACUCCUUGUCCUCUGACAAACUCAUAUUCAUACCUCAAAACCCAAUUCAAAUUUUCUUUUUGUAUUCUGUAUUCAGAAUGGGAUUUUGUGAUACUUUCCUGUCCUGCCUUCUUAUGAGUUAACACAUCUUCUUGUGGGUACUUUUACCAACCUGUAAAGCAGUUCUAACCCACACUGUAUCAGGAAGAUACUGAAGAGCCUUUCUCACCACACUAAGCUGUGAGUACCUCUAGGGCAGAAAUUGUAUCUUAUUCACCUGCAUAUCCCCAGGGCCUGGCAGAUCUCUCAGCAAAUGCCAAAUGAAUGAAUGGAUGGAGGGAUGGAUGAACGACUACAUUGUUCCCAAAACAUUUGGCUAUAUACAAUCAUAUAAUGAUACAGCUGGAAAGAAAAUGAAUGAUUUCCAAAACAUUUGAUUUUGUACAGAAUCAGCUGGCUCGGCCUGUGUUUGUUAGGAUGAAAAUUAAACUGAAUUAAAGAACCAAGAAAUUUCUCUCACACAGCAGAACUCAUAGAAGUAACCCAGGUCAGUGAGCAACUCCAGUCUACACGACCCAGACCAGACACCCUCUUCCUUCCAUUUCAUUUUUUUUUGUUCCUCCAACUUCUAGGACAGUUUCAUCAUCUUUUGGUCAACACUGUAGCACCAUUGGGUUCAAGUACCAAUUCAUGGGGAAGGAAAAGCAUAUAGAGG
ensembl:lncRNA